AGCCACAGCCAUAUCACCCUGCAGCCCAAGACUGGUUGCCCACUGAAGCUAAGCAGGUUUGAGCCUGGUUAGUACCUGGAUGGGAGACCUCCUGGGAAAACUAGGUUGCUGUUGGAA
rnacentral:rRNA from 1 species